AGGGUUGUAGUUCAGUGGUAGAACAUCAGCUUUGCAUUCAGAAGGUCCCAGGUUCAAUCCCAGGCAUCUCCA